AAAAUGACUACCACAAUAAGUUCUGACUGCAAUCCUCCGAACUGACUUUCAAAUUUUCUUCCUCCUGCCUGCCCCAGCAUCACCAAGAACUGAAACUUGACUGCUCAGAUCCCUGUCAGCACUCCUGCUUACCUUGCAGCUGGCCUUUUCCCCCCGAGAAUCUGAAGAAGCUCUGGAGGCUGAAGCCCGGUGACUUGGCGUUAACCUCGAAGGAGCCAGCACUGCAGCAGACCGUGCACGGGCUGGAAUUCUCCCUGGACAAGCCACUGCCGGACCACUGAGGAAGUCCAGCAAAAUGUUCAGGUCAUGCAUGCCCUUGUAUGAGAGAGAGCCAAGACUGUGGACAACGCCACCAAGAGCAGGGACAUCUUAGCUUCAGGAAACUCCAAGAGUGGUGCUGCAAGACUUUCUUCAGCUGACCUCUGGAACCCACUGGACCAGUUAAUUCUCCACAUUCAACUCCUAGCUCUUUACUUCAAUACAACUUUUGUAGUAUUAUUUCUCUGUUUUAGGCAUCCCUCUUUUAAGAUGUCUGAUCUCCAGGACCCUAAAACAACUGACCUUAGCCACCACCUCUCAACAGAUGGUUCAACUGGUUUUAUAGAAACAACCAGCAAGAAUCCUAGGGAAAUUAUUUCUUAGGCCCUGCUUCAUCCCGCUCGAGAGGUUUGUGAUUGCCUCUGAGUUGUUCAACAAUGAACGAUAUUCAUCUUGAACAAAAGGGGUGCAACCUCAGCACUGAUGAUUAAGAAAUCUACCCUCCUUUUGUGUUUCAGAAAUGACAAACCAGCUAACCACGAAGGACCGCACUG
rnacentral:lncRNA from 1 species